GACGAACGCUGGCGGCGUGCUUAACACAUGCAAGUCGAACGGAAAGGCCCUGCUUUUGUGGGGUGCUCGAGUGGCGAACGGGUGAGUAACACGUGAGUAACCUGCCCUUGACUUUGGGAUAACUUCAGGAAACUGGGGCUAAUACCGGAUAGGAGCUCCUGCUGCAUGGUGGGGGUUGGAAAGUUUCGGCGGUUGGGGAUGGACUCGCGGCUUAUCAGCUUGUUGGUGGGGUAGUGGCUUACCAAGGCUUUGACGGGUAGCCGGCCUGAGAGGGUGACCGGCCACAUUGGGACUGAGAUACGGCCCAGACUCCUACGGGAGGCAGCAGUGGGGAAUAUUGCACAAUGGGCGGAAGCCUGAUGCAGCAACGCCGCGUGCGGGAUGACGGCCUUCGGGUUGUAAACCGCUUUCGCCUGUGACGAAGCGUGAGUGACGGUAAUGGGUAAAGAAGCACCGGCUAACUACGUGCCAGCAGCCGCGGUGAUACGUAGGGUGCGAGCGUUGUCCGGAUUUAUUGGGCGUAAAGGGCUCGUAGGUGGUUGAUCGCGUCGGAAGUGUAAUCUUGGGGCUUAACCCUGAGCGUGCUUUCGAUACGGGUUGACUUGAGGAAGGUAGGGGAGAAUGGAAUUCCUGGUGGAGCGGUGGAAUGCGCAGAUAUCAGAGGGAACACCAGUGGCGAAGGCGGUUCUCUGGGCCUUUCCUGACGCUGAGGAGCGAAAGCGUGGGGAGCGAACAGGCUUAGAUACCCUGGUAGUCCACGCUGUAAACGGUGGGUACUAGGUGUGGGGUCCAUUCCACGGGUUCCGUGCCGUAGCUAACGCUUUAAGUACCCCGCCUGGGGAGUACGGCCGCAAGGCUAAAACUCAAAGGAAUUGACGGGGCCCCGCACAAGCGGCGGAGCAUGCGGAUUAAUUCGAUGCAACGCGUAGAACCUUACCUGGGUUUGACAUGGAUCGGGAGCGCUCAGAGAUGGGUGUGCCUCUUUUGGGGUCGGUUCACAGGUGGUGCAUGGCUGUCGUCAGCUCGUGUCGUGAGAUGUUGGGUUAAGUCCCGCAACGAGCGCAACCCUUGUUCACUGUUGCCAGCACGUUAUGGUGGGGACUCAGUGGAGACCGCCGGGGUCAACUCGGAGGAAGGUGGGGAUGACGUCAAGUCAUCAUGCCCCUUAUGUCCAGGGCUUCACGCAUGCUACAAUGGCUGGUACAGAGAGUGGCGAGCCUGUGAGGGUGAGCGAAUCUCGGAAAGCCGGUCUCAGUUCGGAUUGGGGUCUGCAACUCGACCUCAUGAAGUCGGAGUCGCUAGUAAUCGCAGAUCAGCAACGCUGCGGUGAAUACGUUCCCGGG
rnacentral:rRNA from 1 species